ensembl:lncRNA
AUGUUGGGGCAGAAAGAGCGGCAGAGCCAACUCCUUCCCUGUCUCCUGUUGGAAUCCUCUGUGCGCCCCACCCCCGCUCCCUCCCUUACUCCCUCCGACAGCGCCCCCGUCUCCAAACCGCCCGCACCCCGCCCCUGGCGGCCGCCUCUCGCGGCUCCCGGGGUCCCCAGCUCCCUGUCCCCGGAGCCAGAGCCCGGCUCCCGCGCGGCUCCCAGCCCGCCGCGCCGCCCCCGCAUGCUAAUGGCCGGGCCGCCUCCCGCCGCACACAAUGCGGGCCAGGGCCGGGGGCGGGGGACCGGGGAGGGGGCGGGGGCCGGGCCGGGGGCGGGGGCCGGGGCCCGGCGCAUCUCCCCGGCCCCACGUAACGCUGACGCCCGCGCCGCCGGCCCGCCGCCCGCCGCCGCCGCCGCCGCCGCCGCCCGCUCCGCCGCCGCCCGCCCGGGGCUCGUGAGUAGCCGCUCCCCACUCCCGGGCCCCGUCCGCCACCCGGCCCCGCCCCGGCCCCUCCCCCCCUCCCGGAGGCGGGGCCCGCCUCAGCGCCCGGCUCGGAGCAGGUGCAGGGGCGGGGGCGGGGAGGGCGCCGGCUCGGCCCCAAGCAAACUUCGCCCAGAGCUCCUGGGGGGGCGGGGUGGGGGUGGCGGCCUCGGAAGCCUGGAGAGCUGGGGGCCCCAAGGAAAGGGGGGCCAGGUGGAGGAGCUGGGGAGCAGACACCAAAGGGAAGGGCCAACGGGGGGGAUGUGGCGGGGGAGGUGGCGGGUGUCUUUGUAGGGGCCCGAAGGCAGGGCGCGAGGGGCCUGGGGUGAGGGGCGGCAGAGCCGCGAGCCUGAGUGGAUGUGCACCCCUCAACCCCCGGCCCAGGUAGGGCUGGUGGGGGAGGGGGAAGGAGCCCAAACUCUCCGGGAGCACGGGGUGGCGGGGGAGGGGAGAGGAUGGGGGGUGCUUCCCUCUUUGCGUCCCAAACAAAGUGUCACAAAGAGCUCGGCCCGCGGCAGCAGCGGAGGCGGCUGUAACUCAGCUUUUGUUCUCCUGGCCGGGGGUAGCUGAGCCUUGGCCUCCCUAUCUCCCAACCCUGCCCCCCAUCAUCCUUCUGGCUUAUCUUCCUGGGGAGGGGUCUGAGGUGCUGCUGGAAAAACCUCUCGGGCAGGAUUGCAGGUCCUACCCUACUUAGCAAUCUAUUUCUGGGAGGGGGAUUUUCCCAGAGGCUCCCUUGGUCACCCCUACGUCCCAGUCUGAGGACUGAGGCUCACGUGGGUGCUAAUACUGACUUUUCUAGGGUCAGCUCUACUUAAGGGGACUUAGGGCUGUCUACAUGACCCCCGUUCCCAAACCCAGGUCCUCCAGAACUUUCAAAAUCAAAAUCGGGGUUGCGUUAGGACAUGCCUCUGGGAUAAGAUUCCCCAUGGUGGGAUGGCAGCAGGUGAGCAGGUGUGCCUUCCUCUUGCUUCCUGCUGUACCUUUGGAGUCCAUGGCUGAGGUUCCAUGUCUCCAACUCAGGAGAGUGAGGACACAGGGAAGGAGGCUUUACCAAGAACUCAGUCUAAAAAGGUUGGCGAGCUGCAGAGUGGAGUGGGUUUGGAGGAGCUAUCUGAGCAGUGAGGUUCAGAGGGCCAUGGAGAGGAGACCAUAAAAGUGAACUACUGGUGUGUGUGUGUGAUCAAGGUAGUCUUGACUGUAGACCGCCCUAGAAGCUCCCUUUGCUUUUAACCCCAUCUAGUGCAGUGGUAAUCAUAAUUGUUAGCAGAUUCGGGAGGUGUAGGAUUCUCAAGAGGGAAAACUGUUGUGUUAGAGGUGACCAGAGGCAGUUACAACUGGACCCCAGAAGUCCUGAACCCUUGCCUCUUACACUUUGACCCUAAAAACUUUUGAAUCACAAGACUUGAGGGACAGUCUUUGUGUUCCAUUUAGCAAAUACUUCUAUGUACCUGUCCUUGUUGUUUCUAAGUCUUUUCACCAACCAUUCCAUCCUUCUCUACUGAGUAAGGUUUAGUGAUCCACACCCACUUCCCUACCAGCUGCCCCAGCAUGUAAGGAUAAUUGGCCUGUUGCUUUUGAAAGGUUUCUGAUACCUAUCCCUGGCCCUUCAUCCUUACAGAAUCCAAAUAAGGGCAAGAUAACCCCUGAUUCCCAGUGGGGGUGGAAAGUAGGUCAGUGCUGCUGUCUGGCCAAGUCUCGGGAUGGUGUUUAAGGCCUGACUAUAGAAAACUCUGUGAUUAUUGUCCAGGGCAAUAUAUGCAUGACCUCGGUUCCAAGGCAGUUCAUAGUAUCCCAGUCCCUGUCAGUUCUUUCCCCUACUGAGAAAAAAUCAUGGGAUCAGGUAUCUGGAACCUGGUUUGAUAUGGAGAUGAUUCAGGAGAUCUUGAUUGGGCCUAGGAAGGUAUCUCAGUGAGUUUUGUUGAUUUUAGGCCACAUUCUGGGGAAACUUUCCCUGCUGGGGAAUUCAGCUUCAGUUUGGGCCUUCUUGUAUAUCACUCUAUUUCUGUUCU